CGCGUAGGAAUCUGCCCAACAGUGGGGGACAACUCCGGGAAACCGGAGCUAAUACCGCAUACGCCCUACGGGGGAAAGGUGGCCUCUUCAUGAAAGCUAUCACUGUUGGAUGAGCCUACGUAAGAUUAGCUAGUUGGUAGGGUAAAGGCCUACCAAGGCAACGAUCUUUAGCUGGUCUGAGAGGAUGAUCAGCCACACUGGGACUGAGACACGGCCCAGACUCCUACGGGAGGCAGCAGUGGGGAAUAUUGGACAAUGGGCGCAAGCCUGAUCCAGCAAUGCCGCGUGUGUGAAGAAGGC
rnacentral:rRNA from 1 species